rnacentral:rRNA from 1 species
UACGGAGGGUGCAAGCGUUAUCCGGAUUCACUGGGUUUAAAGGGUGCGUAGGCGGGCAGGUAAGUCCGUGGUGAAAUCUCUGAGCUUAACUCAGAAACUGCCAUGGAUACUAUUUGUCUUGAAUAUUGUGGAGGUAAGCGGAAUAUGUCAUGUAACGGUGAAAUGCUUAGAUAUGACAUAGAACACCAAUUGCGAAGGCAGCUUACUACACAGUUAUUGACGCUGAGGCACGAAAGCGUGGGGAUCAAACAGG